GUCAGUUUUAUUUUGGUGGAGUAGGAACUGUGGUGGGAGGACAACUCCUCCACAGACACUGUGGCGUGCCCCAGCUCUUGAGUCUGACUCAGGGCUCCUUUUCAGGGCCUGUGGCUCCAGUCCCUAUUGCCAUCUUAAAGAUAUGACCUGCCACCUAAUCAUGGCUGUCAGUGUCUGGCUGCAGUAGGGGAUGUGGGUACUGACUCAGAAGGCGUGAUUCAAAGCACUAUGACCAUCAGUAGUUGGUUUGAAAGGAAAACAUUGAACCGUGUGGAGCUGGGAGAAGUUGUCACAAGUUAAUUCAUGAGACAAAACUUUAAGACCACUGAAAAUACCAAAAACUUCCUACACUCUAUGAUGCUGCUGUAAGAAGCAAAUGAAUCAAGUGAAGAAAUCAAGCGUAGAAGCCUUCAGGUGUCACAGAAAUGGGUCCCGAUCGGGCCUCAAACCCUAAGACAUCAGAGCAUGAGACACCUGUGACGGAAAGUGGUUGUUUCAUGGAUUAAGCGCCUACGAGUAAAACCAACCUGCGAAUCCUGCAGAAUGUGCCUCGUUGCUGAGUCAUGCUGUGCCUUUGAAAACCAGGAUUCUCAGCUUUGAGAGAAAGGAGAUGUAAGAUUGAAGACAUUAAGCAAAAUUCCUAGAAUCUUGAAUUGAAUUGGAAGUAUUAAUACGAAUUCAUGAUAUAUUUAUCUUAAGAAAUGAACAUAUUUUCUGGCUCUGUCUACUAAAAAGGCCUCAACACAACGAAUAACCUGUUAGCAUAGAGCACCCCUAUUCCCAGAGGGAGCUCCAGAAACACUAUUUCCCACUCAAAGAAACAAUGCUCUUCAGAGAAACAGCUGAUUCCAGAUUUAGAGCAGGAAAUACACAAGAUGUACCUGGAACAUCUUGUCAUGCCAGAUAGAACUUUAUCAGAGACAAGUCGAAUUGCAUCCAAGGACUAAUGAGCCAACUUUAAGACGCUCCUGCUGGACGAAGACAGGACAGUUUGAAAAAAUCAAUAAUGACAGUACCUGCAAUAGAUUAAAAUGCAUCAAUAUGUUUAAAUUCAUGAGUUCCUGUUGAUUCUAAAAGAUAGUAAUUCGUCACACUUGAAUGAGAAGUAUUACAGCUAAUAAAUGAAGAAGUAAUGGCAGAAUCAUCAUCACCAUCUUGCGACUUCCAAUGGAUUAAUGGAUCUAGGGAUUGAUCAUCAAUAGCUGCUAGUAUCACAAAGAGAGAAAACAGAUAUCACGUGUGCUUCCUGAUAGAAGAAUAGAGCAUCUAUAAAGCAGACCUACCAAAAAAGUAAAAAUAAGAUCUGAAGCUGAUCAAACCCAAGACCCAACUACCAAUUUACAGGAAAAACAGAAGACAAAGAUACAUGUACAAUAACACCACUGGGAUGCAGUCAGAAAACUGUAGACUGCUGGAAACUCCCCAUGGCUAACAACUCACUUCCUUCAAGAGAAGAAACAGAGAGAAAGAGAGACAAUGAGAGGUGGAGGGAGCAUCUAUAGGUGAACAGAAACAUAAUGAGUCAUACAGUCAGUCAAAUGUGUGGACCUUAUU
ensembl:lncRNA